CGUAGGGUGCAAGCGUUGUCCGGAAUUAUUGGGCGUAAAGAGCUCGUAGGCGGUCUGUUGCGUCGGCUGUGAAAACCCGGGGCUCAACCCCGGGCCUGCAGCCGAUACGGGCAGACUAGAGUUCGGCAGGGGAGACUGGAAUUCCUGGUGUAGCGGUGAAAUGCGCAGAUAUCAGGAGGAACACCGGUGGCGAAGGCGGGUCUCUGGGCCGAUACUGACGCUGAGGAGCGAAAGCGUGGGGAGCGAACAGGAUUAGAUACCCUGGUAGUCCACGCCGUAAACGUUGGGCGCUAGGUGUGGGUCCCCUUCCACGGGAUCCGUGCCGCAGCUAACGCAUUAAGCGCCCCGCCUGGGGAGUACGGCCGCAAGGCUA
rnacentral:rRNA from 1 species